rnacentral:rRNA from 1 species
CAAUAGCGUAUAUUAAAGUUGUUGCAGUUAAAAAGCUCGUAGUUGGAUUUCGGGGUGGCCUGCCUGGUCCACCGCAAGGUGAGUACUGGUCAGCCGCCCUUCCUCUCGAAAGCCCCGACUGCUCUUCAUUGCAGUGGUCGGGUAGUUCGGGACGUUUACUUUGAAAAAAUUAGAGUGUUCAAGGCAGGCUCUCGCCUGAAUACAUUAGCAUGGAAUAAUGGAAGAGGACCUCGGUCCUAUUUUGUUGGUUUCUAGGGCCGAAGUAAUGAUUAAGAGGGACAGUUGGGGGCAUUCGUAUUUAAUUGUCAGAGGUGAAAUUCUUGGAUUUAUGAAAGACGAACUUCUGCGAAAGCAUUUGCCAAGGAUGUUUUCAUUAA